AGUCGAGCGAACGGAUGAGAAGCUUGCUUCUCUGAUGUUAGCGGCGGACGGGUGAGUAACACGUGGAUAACCUACCUAUAAGACUGGGAUAACUUCGGGAAACCGGAGCUAAUACCGGAUAAUAUUUUGAACCGCAUGGUUCAAAAGUGAAAGACGGUCUUGCUGUCACUUAUAGAUGGAUCCGCGCUGCAUUAGCUAGUUGGUAAGGUAACGGCUUACCAAGGCAACGAUGCAUAGCCGACCUGAGAGGGUGAUCGGCCACACUGGAACUGAGACACGGUCCAGACUCCUACGGGAGGCAGCAGUAGGGAAUCUUCCGCAAUGGGCGAAAGCCUGACUGAGCAACGCCGCGUGAGUGAUGAAGGUCUUCGGAUCGUAAAACUCUGUUAUUAGGGAAGAACAUAUGUGUAAGUAACUGUGCACAUCUUGACGGUACCUAAUCAGAAAGCCACGGCUAACUACGUGCCAGCAGCCGCGGUAAUACGUAGGUGGCAAGCGUUAUCCGGAAUUAUUGGGCGUAAAGCGCGCGUAGGCGGUUUUUUAAGUCUGAUGUGAAAGCCACGGCUCAACCGUGGAGGGUCAUUGGAAACUGGAAAACUUGAGUGCAGAAGAGGAAAGUGGAAUUCCAUGUGUAGCGGUGAAAUGCGCAGAGAUAUGGAGGAACACCAGUGGCGAAGGCGACUUUCUGGUCUGUAACUGACGCUGAUGUGCGAAAG
rnacentral:rRNA from 1 species